GCCCAGCUUGCUGGGUGGAUUAGUGGCGAACGGGUGAGUAACACGUGAGUAACCUGCCCCUGACUCUGGGAUAAGCGUUGGAAACGACGUCUAAUACUGGAUAUGAUCACUGGCCGCAUGGUCUGGUGGUGGAAAGAUUUUUUGGUUGGGGAUGGACUCGCGGCCUAUCAGCUUGUUGGUGAGGUAAUGGCUCACCAAGGCGACGACGGGUAGCCGGCCUGAGAGGGUGACCGGCCACACUGGGACUGAGACACGGCCCAGACUCCUACGGGAGGCAGCAGUGGGGAAUAUUGCACAAUGGGCGAAAGCCUGAUGCAGCAACGCCGCGUGAGGGAUGACGGCCUUCGGGUUGUAAACCUCUUUUAGUAGGGAAGAAGCGAAAGUGACGGUACCUGCAGAAAAAGCACCGGCUAACUACGUGCCAGCAGCCGCGGUAAUACGUAGGGUGCAAGCGUUGUCCGGAAUUAUUGGGCGUAAAGAGCUCGUAGGCGGUUUGUCGCGUCUGCUGUGAAAUCCCGAGGCUCAACCUCGGG
rnacentral:rRNA from 1 species